GUAGGUGGCAAGCGUUGUCCGGAAUUAUUGGGCGUAAAGCGCGCGCAGGCGGUCCUUUAAGUCUGAUGUGAAACGCCCACGGCUCAACCGUGGAGGGUCAUUGGAAACUGGGGGACUUGAGUACAGAAGAGGAAAGCGGAAUUCCAAGUGUAGCGGUGAAAUGCGUAGAGAUUUGGAGGAACACCAGUGGCGAAGGCGGCUUUCUGGUCUGUAACUGACGCUGAGGCGCGAAAGCGUGGGGAGCAAACAGGAUUAGAUACCCUGGUAGUCCACGCCGUAAACGAUGAGUGCUAAGUGUUAGGGGGUUUCCCGCCCCCCUUAGUGCUGCAGCUAACGCAUUAAGCACUCCGCCUGGGGAGUACGGCGCAAGGCUG
rnacentral:rRNA from 1 species